ensembl:lncRNA
AAAUCUUUGGUAAAGAGACACAGUCAGACUUUUGAGUCCUCAGGUGCUCAAGUGAGAGAAGCGUGUGCUUAUCAUGUGCAGUAUUAUCUCCUGUGCUCUCUAAAUACUCUUUGGUGACAAAAGAAGCUUUGUUUUUCAGAUGGAGUUCAUUGCGAGGGACCUCUGGAGAUCGUCUGUUUUAACUUCCCAUGUGAAGUGAAACUGCUGCUGGUGCUGGACCAGACCCGGUUUAUGGAACUGCUGGCAGUAGCUGCAGAUCUAUUUGAAUCAAAAUGAAAGCUGAUGGAAGAAAUCAAAAAUGCAGUGCAGCAGCUCAGUGUUGAUGCAUACCAAGGAUGGUAAAGACCACAUCAAGGAGUGGGCAGAGCUGGGGCAUUACAGAAUUAAGCUGUCAAGAGGAAGGUUACAGUCCAUUUUGACACAGCUGCAGAAGUUAAAAUUCACUCUCGAUGUUUUCAUUCACUGCUGAGGAUUUUUUCUGCAAGUGGGCAUUUAAUACAGUUGAGAGAAAAAGACUUGAUUGCAAGGGAGAAAAGUAAGGAAGAUCAUUAGUUAAAAAAUUUGGCCCAGCUGGGGAAGAGACAAUAAUUAAUGUUUAUGGUUUGUUAUGGACUAUUUAUAGGAUAUGAUGGAUUUUUAUUCUGUGUAGUUUUCUACUGCUUUGUACUUUGUUAUGCAGUCUGGAACUUAUUGUGAAGAUAAGGACCAGCAUUUACUAUUUUGUAUAUUAGUAGUUCACGAAGUAGGGGUUAUUAGAUCAACUCUUUUGCAGUUCAGUAGCUUUUUUGUAAUGUUAGCUUAUUGAAAGUGUGUGUGUUCUAUGUAGAUGGGCAGAAACUAAGCAAAUGAACUUCCUAAUACUUAAACAAAUGCUCAAAGCAAAGAUGUAACGCUGGUAGAUCUAGCAAGCCUAACCUCAGGCAUGAAUAUGAAUGUUUUACAGGUUCUAUUAAAGAGAGGACUUCCCACUAAAAAAAGAAGUCUUAGGGAGCUAAUGCCAUAAUGAAUGUACCAAAUAAGAGAUUGUGCUAAAUAAAAAAUGAAUGAAAAUAUAUACCACUGGAGUACAUGUUUUCCUUCUGUGGAUGUGAAACACUUGCAAAGAAACUGCAAGACAGAAUCAGGCCUCUGCAAAAGAAGUGCUAACCGAAAACUUGCAUUUGUUCUAAUUCUACUACUCCAGCAGAAGAUCAAACAAUAAACUUGAAAACCUGAUCUUCUCUGAAUCUAAACAGCUCCCCAUGAAAUAUUUACUCCUCUCCAAAAACAUCUUGUAUCUAAGGAGCUUGUCCCAAGAUUUCAGUUGGCACAGGAAGAAGUCAGAUUGUAAGGAGCUUAAAAGAUAAACUGCCCUCACACGCAACAUAUUAGCUUAUAGUUUCAGAUGUUUCCAAAUGUGGAAGGUAUUAAAACAAUGCUAUUUUAACUGGAAAGACCUAGAAGUUACCAGAACGUUGUAUAAAUUCUGUGUAUAACGAAUAUAAAUUAGAUUUAUAACCUAGUUUACUCAGUGGUGAUAUUUUGCAUUAACACCACCUUUUCAGAUGGUAUUCAAAGCACAUAAUGAUUAUCUGCUCAUGCAAGGUUCCUCAAGGGGACUGGAGGUGAUCAUAAGGCCUUGGUAAGUGACUGAGGAGCUGAGAAUAGUGGCUUCUUAUCUACAGCAAUGUAUUUCCUUCUAGAGAAUGUGUUUUGUUUUCAGAAGUGAAUUGCCACUCUGGUUAUUGUUCCAAUAGAUACAGGUACUCUUAAAGUCACUUCUCAGCUAAAAUUUGAGAAUGCACACUUGAUUGUUCACACUGCAGUGAAGAGUGGGUAUAAACUUCAGCGCUGCAUUUUCUUGUGUCUGGUGCUCCUUUCUAUUUCACCUGCAGCACAGACAUCAUUUCCUCAGAAGACUGCAGGUACUCAUUAAUUUCUCCUCUUUGAAAUGCUACCAAACUAUGAUAGAGUGAUGUAAUUGUACAUGUAGCCUGAUAUCUGUCCCGGUUGAAGUAUGUGUGUUUUUUAUUUGUCAAUAAGAUAUGGUGGCUUUUUUUAAGCCAUUAGCUGCCACUAUUUCAGCUUGCUAGAAAGGCUCAAAAUGAACUUUGCUGUUAACAUAUGCAAUUCCCAGCUCUGUCUCUUUUUUCUUCUUAUGAAACUUUAAUAAAAUCAUUCCUACCGUCC